UAAGCCAAAACAAUCGAUUGAGCAACACAUGAAAUAAUACAUCAAAACUAUCGAUUAGAUGGACACAUUGUGCUCUGUAAACUCCUCUGGCUGCUUGUGGUUACUUUUCAAAUGUCAAAACUCCCAAUUGAUUGAACGCAUAUGAAUUUCUCCAACUUAUUUGGGCUCCUUCAAGUUCAGAUUCAUAUAUAAUCUACGAUUGCGACAAUUUGAAAAGUCUGUUUCAUGUCAAUGUAGCUCGAGAUCUUCAGCAGCUGAAAAAAUUAGAUAUUGCACGUUGUGAAAAGUUGGAGCAAAUCAUCUUUCAAGAUGAUGAAGAAGAGGAACAGCAUCAGCAAGCGGCGUGCUUCUCAAAUCUCUUAGAGAUAACUAUCUACGAUUGCGACAAUUUGAAAAGUCUGUUUCAUGUCAAUGUAGCUCGAGAUCUUCAGCAGCUGAAAAAAUUAGAUAUUGCACGUUGUGAAAAGUUGGAGCAAAUCAUCUUUCAAGAUGAUGAAGAAGAGGAACAGCAUCAGCAAGCGGCGUGCUUCUCAAAUCUCUUAGAGAUAACUAUCUACGAUUGCGACAAUUUGAAAAGUCUGUUUCAUGUCAAUGUAGCUCGAGAUCUUCAGCAGCUGAAAAAAUUAGAUAUUGCACGUUGUGAAAAGUUGGAGCAAAUCAUCUUUCAAGAUGAUGAAGAAGAGGAACAGCAUCAGCAAGCGGCGUGCUUCUCAAAUCUCUUAGAGAUAACUAUCUACGAUUGCGACAAUUUGAAAAGUCUGUUUCAUGUCAAUGUAGCUCGAGAUCUUUAGCAGCUGAAAGAAUUAAGUAUUGACGAUUGUGAAAAGUUGGAGCAAAUCUUUGUUGGAGAUAAUGCUGUCGAAGAGUGCAAAGAAAUUGUGCUGCCUGGUGUCUGGCUAUUGAAUCUUCUAAAUUUACCAAAACUCGUUCACUUGUGCCCAGUGGGUUGUCACUUGAUACUUCCAUCAUUAACCCAUUUGUGGGUGACAAUUUGCCCAAGAAUUGCAGCAAGAUUUUCAGUUGACCAAAAUGGAUCACUGCAUGUCAAAUCAGAGGUACUCACAUUACUUUUUUUUUAAAUAUCUUCACGAGGUUUGGUAUAAUUAUAUUUAGAUAUAAUUAUAAAUAUCGUAACUUUACCACUCAAUAAUUUUCUUUCCUCGUGUCCGUGUACAUGUUAUCUUCUUGGUUAUGAUCAUACACUGCACAGAUUGGUUGUAAAACCAUGCUUAAUUUGCUUGCCCAGUUAUGGAUUUGGUUGAUGAUAGCUUGCCAUUGAUACUGUUGGUUGUGCAGGCACGACAAAUAGAUGAAACAAACUUUGCCAUGGAGAUUGAUUGCUCGUCAACUGAUCAGAUACGACAAUUGACCUCCAGAUAAGUCAGAAUGAUAGAAGAUGAAGCAUAGAAAUUCUCACCCGUCAAUAUCAAAUGAAUAAAAGGAAAAGGAGCAGGUAUUAUGCUUAUGAGUCUCCAGUCCACUCUUCACUUCAGCAUGUGUUGCCUUGCCGUGUACAUAUCGAUUGAGGCUUUUCUUCUUUUUCAUUCUGUGCUCUUAAUUGCAUGUUAAGUAUCCGUACUGUAAUCAUGAAGACAAUUCUUAGGUUCUUUAAACAUAAAAUGUCGUAAACUUUGAAGAUACGGAUUGUUAAUCUCAAAGCCUAUGUACAUAUAAAACCUAUAGAAAACUUAACCUGAAAAAUAUCGACUGUGAAGGUUCUUUUCGUUGCAGUUUAUGAAGAACAAAUGAACAGUAAUAAAACUCCCCAUUACCUGUUGCAAAGCACAUGUAUUAUGGGAAGAAAAAAUGAUUGUUUUAUUAAUUCUUUCAAUACACCAAUAAGGGAAUGAAUGAACAUACAUGAAUAUAAGCCAAAACAAUCGAUUGAGCAACACAUGAAAUAAUACAUCAAAACUAUCGAUUAGAUGGACACAUUGUGCUCUGUAAACUCCUCUGGCUGCUUGUGGUUACUUUUCAAAUGUCAAAACUCCCAAUUGAUUGAACGCAUAUGAAUUUCUCCAACUUAUUUGGGCUCCUUCAAGUUCAGAUUCAUAUAUACUCAGUCAUCCCAACAGCAGCACGAUUGCCACUUGAAUGUUGAAACUAUGUGGCAUUCUUCAUUUCCAUUCCUCCUGCAAGGAUUGAUGAAAUGACCGAAUGCAUCAAGAAAAACCACUGUGGCAAACUUGAUACAAAAAUGGUGUAGACAUGCCAAAGCGCAAGCUUGAAAGGGGAUUAACUACUCCAUGGGCACCCACCAAUAUAUCAGCUAAAACCAUUUGCAUGACCUUGGUUUUGUCUCCAACGUUUCUUUUUACCACUCUUCUCCUUCUUUGAGCCACCUUCUCCACGGCUUUUCGACUCCCCAGUUUCUUCCGUCUUCUUCUUACUAGUCUUCUCUUUAGAAAAAGCUUUCCUCUUUUUACCAGAAGACUGCACACUACCAUUUCCACGGGGAAAUGACUCUUCUUCAUAAUCUGACUGCCAAUUGCACAUAAUGUCCCGCUGAUCUCCAAAGUGUGUUUGUAAUGGCUCCCCUGCUCCAGGAAGUAAGUUGUUAAAAGUUAUCUCACCAUUAGAUCCUCCUUUGCGCUCCAGCAAGACUGGGUCUGGCCUAAUUAUUGUACCAAGAAUGCUUCUGUUUGGCCCUAGGCUCAAGAUGGUCUUUGGAUUUGUCAAGGUUGUAAAUGCCAUUGCAAAAGCUGAUUUAAUCUGCAAAAGAGAAGAAAC
rnacentral:lncRNA from 1 species